ACUGUUUAUCCUCUCUGUUGCUGAAGUUCCGUUUCUCACAAAUGAAGGAUUGAUUAGUAUCCUCUAACCCCAAUUCCUAAUCCAAAAUAUUUGAAAAGGAAAAAUAUGCCAAUCGCAGCUGUUUCACCACUGAGCCAUUGCUAUUGCACUACAUCACUUGUUAAAACCAGAAUCCCCAACCCCUCCUUAAAAUGCAAUUUCCUCUCCCCCAUUACCCGGAACCCACUUCGUUCCCACACCAAAACCCCUCUAACUCUCACCACCUGCCCUGGCAGAAGUAAGAAAUUUAACCUCACUAUUGUGGCAAUGAGCAUGGACGCUGGAGUUGGUGUGAUGGGAACCAAACUUGGCAUGAUGAGUUACUUUGAGCCUGAUGGGACGGUUGUGCCCGUCACAGUCGUUGGCUUUCGAGAAGGAAACAUUGUGACCCAAAUUAAGACUCAGGCCACUGAUAGGUAUGAUGCUGUUCAGGUGGGUUAUCGGAGGGUUAGGGAUAAAAAGCUGACAAAGCCUGAGUUGGGCCAUUUGGAGAAGGCAGGGAUUAUACCUAUGAGGCAUUUGCAAGAGUUUAGGUUGCAAAAUAUUGAUGGGUUUGAGGUUGGGCAGAAGUUGGUUCUCGAGGAGCUUUUCAAGGAAGGGGAUCUUGUUGAUGUCUCUGGAAUAACCAUUGGCAAAGGCUUUCAAGGUUUGUACUUUUUGUUUUCAUUAUUUAUUUAGCUGGUGUUCGUCUGGUGUUUGUUUGCUUUGUUGAGGAUUUUUAGCGGGUGGGUGGGUGUUGCUUGUGAGAAUUGAUUGAAAAGGUAUGUUUCUUACUUUUGCUUGAGAUAUUGAAAGCAAUGGAAUGUUGUGGAUGAGGAGCUAUUGUGAUGUUCUUUGUUGAUGACAAAGGGAUGUGACUUACUUUGCUUUGUUCUCUGUGAUGUGAUUCAUUUUGAAAUUUUUGUUUCCAGCCUCAAAAGCUUCGGCACCUCAUAUCAAUUUUGAAUACUAAAAUCAUAAUGUUUUGUCAUUUCAGCCAUUGUGUGGGAACAGGAAUUUGCUGCCUUAGUUUUAAAGAUAUGCAAAAUAUUGGCAGCAGGUCUGAAUAUGCUCUGUGAGAACCAGACAGCUGAUUUGAUAAGAGAGAAACUGGCAAAAUUAGCACAAAAAAUAGCAUUGCAUGUUUAACUGAAGGUGUUUGAUUGAUAUUCAUAAUUUCAUAUAUUAUCUUUUGGCAAGGGAUAAGGAAUAACUUCCUACAUUUCUUACUGGUUCACCAUUACAAAACAAAAAUAACAACAGUAAUAGUAAUAGAAGGAAAUAUGUCACAUGUCUGGCUUGAUUAAAUAGAUGUUAUGCAGCAUCUCAUUUGCUUCAUGCGAUCUGACAUUUGCCACUUGCAGCUAUGUGCUCUUUACGCUAAGUAUAGAUAGAUCCUUCUUAUUGCAAACCUAACUGAACAUACUGGCAUGAGGAGACAGUUAUGGUGAAACGAAGUGUGUGUCUGUGUGUGUUUUCCCUUUCUUUUCCUUUUUUCGUAGUGCAGUAGAGCAAAUAACUGUUAUCCUGAUAAACAAAAAAUUCCAAUGAAGAACCUGGCAAGACUUUAUUGAUGGGUCUCCUAAAAGACUUCCUGUUUCAUGUUGUGGUUAACCGGUUAUUACCCUUUAAGAAUUAAGUCCAGCUAUAGAAUGUCAGCAUAUACCUACACAUAUUUGCUUGGUGAAGAAUGAAGGGUGUAGUGCACAGGUCCCCUGAAUGAUAGCAUUAAACUAUGUUGUUGCCAGGAGCUUGCAAUGUCAUAAGAGCAUAUAUUCAGUGGUGUGUAAUGCCAUAAUUUGUUAUGCCCUCAUUUAAGACCGGUGAUGGGCGGUGUUACCUGUUAUGAAACUGUUGGUAUCUUAAUUUGUGUUCAUAUUCUUUUGGUCUUCUAGUCACCAAUUUAGGUUCACUUUUUUCAUUAUUUAUGAAUAGUUUUUCUGAUUUACUGAUAAGUGAUAAUUUAGAAGUCCCUAUGAGGUGUGUCCUGAUUCCGUCUUUUAUUUAUUUAUUUCUCCAAUUGCUGACAGGUGGAAUUAAGCGGCACAAUUUCAAAAGGGGACAAAUGACCCAUGGUUCCAAGAGUCAUAGAGCACUGGGAUCCAUUGGUGCUGGAACAACACCUGGCCGAGUAUACAAGGGUAAGAAGAUGCCUGG
rnacentral:misc_RNA from 1 species